UACGGGGGGGGCAAGCGUUGUUCGGAAUUACUGGGCGUAAAGGGUUCGUAGGUGGCCAAUUAAGUCAGACGUGAAAUCCCUCAGCUCAACUGGGGAACUGCGUCUGAGACUGGAUGGCUUGAGUGCAGGAGAGGAACGCGGAAUUCCAGGUGUAGCGGUGAAAUGCGUAGAUAUCUGGAGGAAUACCGAUGGCGAAGGCAGCCCCCUGGGAUAACACUGACGCUCAUGCACGAAAGCGUGGGGAGCAAACAGG
rnacentral:rRNA from 1 species